rnacentral:rRNA from 1 species
AACAUGUCUGUAUUUAAUUUAUAUAAAGUCUGACCUGCCCACUGAUUCUUAAAGGGCCGCAGUAAUUUGACUGUGCGAAGGUAGCAUAAUCAUUAGUCUUUUAAUUGAAGGCUGGAAUGAAUGGUUGGAUGAGGGGUAUACUGUCUUUUUAAAUUAUGUGAAUUUAACUCUUAAGUGAAAAGGCUUAAAUGACGUGAAGGGACGAUAAGACCCUAUAAAACUUUAUAUAGUUUCUUUUAAAUUAUUUAAAUUAAGAUUAAAGGAAUUUAUUGGGGAUUAUAUUACGUUGGGGAGAUGAUAAUAAAAUUUGUAACUGUUUUUUAUAAAUAAUAAUUAUAAUUAUGUUUUGAUCCUUUAUUAGAGAUUAUAAGAUCAAGUUACUUUAGGGAUAACAGCGUAAUUUUUCUAGAGAGUCCUUAUCGACAGAAAUAGUUGCGACCUCGAUGUUGAAUUAAAAUUUAUCAAUAGGCGUAGCCGCUUAUUAUAAUAGGUCUGUUCGACCUUUAAAUUUUUACAUGAUUUGAGUUCAAACCGGUGUGAGCCA